GUCCCGUUGGCGUAGUGGAUUAACGCACUGGACUUCUAUUGAGCAGAUAUCCAGGGAUCAUGGGUUCGAAUCCCAUACGGGACG